AGCCUGAACGCUGGCGGCGUGGCUAAGACAUGCAAGUCGUACGGGUGUAGCAAUACACCAGUGGCGAACGGGUGAGUAAUGUAUCGCUAACGUGCCCCUAUGUCUGGGAUAGCCAUCCGAAAGGAUGGGUAAUACCGGAUGAGACCACAAUCCCGCAUGGGAUGGUGCUCAAAGGAGUAAUCCGCAAAGGGAGCGGGCGAUAUCGUAUCAGCUAGUUGGUGAGGUAACGGCCCACCAAGGCGACGACGCGUAGCCGGGCUGAGAGGUCGGCCGGCCACAUUGGGACUGAGACACUGCCCAGACUCCUACGGGGGCUGCAGUAACGAAUCUUCCGCAAUGCACGAAAGUGUGACGGAGCGACGCCGCGUGGAGGACGAAGUUCUUCGGAAUGUAAACUCCUGUCAGGGGCAACCAAGUUCUGAGGUGCCCCAGAGGAAGGCACGGCUAACUCUGCGCCAGCAGCCGCGGU
rnacentral:rRNA from 1 species